rnacentral:rRNA from 1 species
UAGGGAAUCUUGGACAAUGGGGGAAACCCUGAUCCAGCCAUGCCGCGUGAGUGAAGAAGGCCUUAGGGUCGUAAAACUCUUUCGCCAGGGAAGAUAAUGACGGUACCUGGUAAAGAAACCCCGGCUAACUCUGUGCCAGCAGCCGCGGUAAUACGGAGGGGGUUAGCGUUGUUCGGAAUUACUGGGCGUAAAGCGCACGUAGGCGGGCUGAAAAGUUGGGGUGAAAUCCCGGGCUCAACCCCGGAACUGCCUUCAAAAUCUGACAGCCUAGAGUUCGAGAGAGGUGAGUGGAAUUCCGAGUGUAGAGGUGAAAUUCGUAGAUAUUCGGAGGAACACCAGUGGCGAAGGCGGCUCACUGGCUCGAUACUGACGCUGAGGUGCG